GACGAACGCUGGCGGCGUGCUUAACACAUGCAAGUCGAACGGAAAGGCCCUGCUUUUGUGGGGUGCUCGAGUGGCGAACGGGUGAGUAACACGUGAGUAACCUGCCCUUGACUUUGGGAUAACUUCAGGAAACUGGGGCUAAUACCGGAUAGGAGCUCCUGCUGCAUGGUGGGGGUUGGAAAUUUUCGGCGGUUGGGGAUGGACUCGCGGCUUAUCAGCUUGUUGGUGGGGUAGUGGUUUACCAAGGCUUUGACGGGUAGCCGGCCUGAGAGGGUGACCGGCCACAUUGGGACUGAGAUACGGACCAGACUCCUACGGGAGGCAGCAGUGGGGAAUAUUGCACAAUGGGAGGAAGCCUGAUGCAGAAACGCCGCGUGCGGGAUGACGGCCUUCGGGUUGUAAACCGCUUUCGCCUGUGACGAAGCGUGAGUGACGGUAAUGGGUAAAGAAGCACCGGCUAACUACGUG
rnacentral:rRNA from 1 species